rnacentral:rRNA from 1 species
AUUGAACGCUGGCGGCAUGCCUUACACAUGCAAGUCGAACGGCAGCACGGGUGCUUGCACCUGGUGGCGAGUGGCGAACGGGUGAGUAAUACAUCGGAACGUACCUUAUCGUGGGGGAUAACGCAGCGAAAGCUGUGCUAAUACCGCAUACGCCCUGAGGGGGAAAGCGGGGGAGCGAACGACCUCGCGCGAUUAGAGCGGCCGAUGCCCGAUUAGCUUGUUGGGGGGGUAAAAGCCCACCAAGGCGACGAUCAGUAGCUGGUCUGAGAGGACGAUCAGCCACACUGGGACUGAGACACGGCCCAGACUCCUACGGGAGGCAGCAGUGGGGAAUUUUGGACAAUGGGGGCAACCCUGAUCCAGCAAUGCCGCGUGAGUGAAGAAGGCCUUCGGGUUGUAAAGCUCUUUUGUCAGGGAAGAAACACCGGCUCUAACACAGUCCGGGAAUGACGGUACCUGAAGAAUAAGCACCGGCUAACUACGUGCCAGCCGCCGCCGUAA